AGUGAACGCUGGCGGUAGGCCUAACACAUGCAAGUCGAACGGCAGCACAGUAAGAGCUUGCUCUUACGGGUGGCGAGUGGCGGACGGGUGAGGAAUACAUCGGAAUCUACUUUUUCGUGGGGGAUAACGUAGGGAAACUUACGCUAAUACCGCAUACGACCUACGGGUGAAAGCAGGGGAUCUUCGGACCUUGCGCGAUUGAAUGAGCCGAUGUCGGAUUAGCUAGUUGGCGGGGUAAAGGCCCACCAAGGCGACGAUCCGUAGCUGGUCUGAGAGGAUGAUCAGCCACACUGGAACUGAGACACGGUCCAGACUCCUACGGGAGGCAGCAGUGGGGAAUAUUGGACAAUGGGCGCAAGCCUGAUCCAGCCACACCGCGUGGGUGAAGAAGGCCUUCGGGUUGUAGAGCCCUUUUGUUGGGAAAGAAAAGCAGCAGGUUAAUACCCCGCUGUUCUGACGGUACCCAAAGAAUAAGCACCGGCUAACUUCGUG
rnacentral:rRNA from 1 species